AAAAUUUGCAAGUUUUAAUAUAUAUUACUUUUAAAAAAUAAAUCGUCCCGCGGUAUACCGCGGGUUAAAAUCUAGUUUAAUCAUUAAGAUUGA
rnacentral:sRNA from 1 species